GAUCUAUCCAUGAGCAGGUUGAAGGUUGGGUAACACUAACUGGAGGACCGAACCCACUGUCGUUGAAAAGCCAGGGGAUGACUUGUGGAUAGGGGUGAAAGGCUAAUCAAACUCGGUGAUAGCUGGUUCUCCCCGAAAGCUAUUUAGGUAGCGCCUCGGACGAAUACCAUUGGGGGUAGAGCACUGUUUCGGCUAGGGGGUCAUCCCGACUUACCAAACCGAUGCAAACUCCGAAUACCUAUGAGUACUAUCCGGGAGACAGACUGCGGGUGCUAACGUCCGUAGUCAAGAGGAAAACAAUCCAGACCGCCAGCUAAGGCCCCAAAAUCAUAGUUAAGUGGGAAACGAUGUGGGAAGGCAUAGACAGCUAGGAGGUUGGCUUAGAAGCAGCCACCCUUUAAAGAAAGCGUAAUAGCUCACUAGUCGAGUCGGCCUGCGCGGAAGAUGUAACGGGGCUAAAACUAUGUGCCGAAGCUGCGGAUGUAACUUUAAGUUACGUGGUAGGGGAGCGUUCUGUAAGCCGAUGAAGGUGGAUUGAGAAGUCUGCUGGAGGUAUCAGAAGUGCGAAUGCUGACGUGAGUAACGACAAAACGGGUGAAAAACCCGUUCGCCGAAAGACCAAGGGUUCCAGUCCAACGUUAAUCGGGGCUGGGUGAGUCGACCCCUAAGGCGAGGCCGAAAGGCGUAGUCGAUGGGAAAUUGGUUAAUAUUCCAAUACUUCUGUGUAAUGCGAUGAGAGGACGGAGAAGGUUAGGUCAGCCUGGCGUUGGUUGUCCAGGUGGAAGACAGUAGGCAUGCAUCUUAGGCAAAUCCGGGGUGCUCUAUGCUGAGAGUCGAUAGCAAGCUAGUUUACUAGCGAAGUGGCUGAUACCAUACUUCCAAGAAAAGUCUCUAAGCUACAGUUACACAGGAAUCGUACCCGAAACCGACACAGGUGGUCAGGUCGAGUAGACCAAGGCGCUUGAGAGAACUCUGCUGAAGGAACUAGGCAAAAUGGUACCGUAACUUCGGGAGAAGGUACGCUGUUGAUGGUGAUGGGACUUGCUCCCUGAGCGAUUGACAGCCGCAGAAACCAGGCCGCUGCAACUGUUUAUUAAAAACAUAGCACUCUGCAAACACGAAAGUGGACGUAUAGGGUGUGAUGCCUGCCCGGUGCUGGAAGGUUAAUUGAUGGGGUUAGCGUAAGCGAAGCUCUUGAUCGAAGCCCCAGUAAACGGCGGCCGUAACUAUAACGGUCCUAAGGUAGCGAAAUUCCUUGUCGGGUAAGUUCCGACCUGCACGAAUGGCAUAAUGAUGGCGGCGCUGUCUCCAGCAGAGGCUCAGUGAAAUCGAAUUCGCCGUGAAGAUGCGGUGUACCCGCGGCUAGACGGAAAGACCCCGUGAACCUUUACUGCAGCUUGACAUUGAACUUUGACCUUACUUGUGUAGGAUAGGUGGGAGGCUUUGAAACUGGGACGCUAGUUCGAUUGGAGCCAUCCUUGAAAUACCACCCUGGUAAUGUUGAGGUUCUAACUCUGCCCCGUAAUCCGGGGCGAGGACCAUGUCUGGUGGGUAGUUUGACUGGGGCGGUCUCCUCCUAAAGAGUAACGGAGGAGUACGAAGGUGCGCUCAGCGUGGUCGGAAAUCACGCGUAGAGUAUAAAGGCAAAAGCGCGCUUAACUGCGAGACCCACAAGUCGAGCAGGUACGAAAGUAGGUCUUAGUGAUCCGGUGGUUCUGUAUGGAAGGGCCAUCGCUCAACGGAUAAAAGGUACUCUGGGGAUAACAGGCUGAUACCGCCCAAGAGUUCAUAUCGACGGCGGUGUUUGGCACCUCGAUGUCGGCUCAUCUCAUCCUGGGGCUGAAGCAGGUCCCAAGGGUAUGGCUGUUCGCCAUUUAAAGAGGUACGCGAGCUGGGUUUAGAACGUCGUGAGACAGUUCGGUCCCUAUCUACCGUGGGCGCUGGAAAUUUGAGAGGAUCUGCUCCUAGUACGAGAGGACCAGAGUGGACGAACCUCUGGUGUACCGGUUGUGACGCCAGUCGCAUCGCCGGGUAGCUAUGUUCGGAAGGGAUAACCGCUGAAAGCAUCUAAGCGGGAAGCCUACCUCAAGAUAAGAUUUCCCUAGGAAUUUAUUCCUCUAAAGAGCCGUUCAAGACUAGGACGUUGAUAGGUUGGAUGUGGAAGCAUAGUGAUAUGUGAAGCUGACCAAUACUAAUUGCUCGUGAGGCUUGACUAU
rnacentral:rRNA from 1 species